rnacentral:rRNA from 1 species
GUAGUCAUAUGCUUGUCUCAAAGAUUAAGCCAUGCAUGUCUAAGUAUAAGCACUUUAUACUGUGAAACUGCGAAUGGCUCAUUAAAUCAGUUAUCGUUUAUUUGAUAGUACCUUACUACAUGGAUACCUGUGGUAAUUCUAGAGCUAAUACAUGCUACAAACCCCGACUUCAGGAAGGGGUGCAUUUAUUAGAUAAAAAACCAACGCCCUUCGGGGCUCCUUGGUGAAUCAUAAUAACUUAACGAAUCGCAUGGCCUUGCGCCGGCGAUGGUUCAUUCAAAUUUCUGCCCUAUCAACUUUCGAUGGUAGGAUAGUGGCCUACCAUGGUGGCAACGGGUAACGGGGAAU